GCUGAUCUCAAGUUGGAGCUUUAUGCAGUAAUGAAGUCAUCUCUGAGAGCUAAGCACUCCACUGCCCAAGCUGAGACUUCCACUGCCUGGACGUUUUUGGCUUGUCAGCAUCUGGUCCAUCCCACUCUGUGACUGCUUGAGGUGGCCACGUCUCACUCUGGGGCUGUCACAGGCUAGGCCAAGCUAAGUCACAUGGUACGGAACUUCCUCAUACUCCUUUGCAAAUCGGAGUCAAAAGCCCCUCGGUGUGUGGGAUUUGAGGCUCUUUUCUUCGGACUCCCUGCCACAUGGCGGCUGUCUCACAGAUCCUCUGGGCUUUGAAGACUCUCUCCCUUCAGGAAAGCAUCGCGCUGUCUGGUGUGAAGCUCUUCAGAGCUCUCCAGCCUCAAGUCUCCAGCAUGCCCCGCCCCAUCUCCAAAAUCUCUCUUCUAAUAAAGCCUGAUCUGAAUGG
rnacentral:lncRNA from 1 species